UUCAUUUAAUAACGUGUUUCUAACAUAAUAAUUUGUCGCUUCUAGCAAAUCAAGAAACAGUGUAAUACAAAAUGUGCAGUAACCUAUUUCGGAGACGUAAAUCAGUCAGAUUGUCAAGGGUGGAACGACGUUUUUUUUAACAAAGCAUACAGGCGUCUUUUGUAUAAAAAUCAAUUUUUACAUUUUCGAAAUGUUGUUGUAGUGGCUCAAUAUGACAUGGACUUAUAUGUGCAUUGCUGUCUCCCAGUGAGAGGUUACAACAGUUUAACAGUUAGUGAAAGUUAACCCACUCGUCAACUGAAAUCUGGAAUUCUCACUAAAUCUUCAAAUCUGAGUCUCUGCAAAAUAACCUGAAGGUCCGCUUGGUACCUCUCCAAAUGGUUCGGCAAGUAGUUGACCUAGACACUCAACGAUUGGAAGCGCAAGAAAACGACACGUCGUUGCCUUGAGGUAAACAAGUGAGUAGACUCAAACCUCAGAUGAUAACAUCAAGAACAACUCGCGGGAAGCAGAGAAUCACGGUAGAGAUUACUUUGUGCUACGGCUAUAUCCUAUUGAAUAGACUCAGACCUCAGAUGAUAACAUCAAGAACAACUCGCGGGAAGCAGAGAAUCACGGUAGAGCUUACUUUGUGCUUCGGCUAUAUCCUAUUGAAUAGACUCAGACCUCAGAUGAUAACAUCAAGAACAACUCGCGGGAAGCAGAGAUACACGGUAGAGCUUACUUUGUGCUACGGUUAUAUCCUUUGUGAAUUCUUUAUAUAAUCAGUUUCUCACUUGAGCUCAUUCUUCUUGUCUCCUGUAUAAAAUGCAAUACAACAGCAUUAUUUGCAAUAAUAUAAAUGUUUAUUAAAAUGCGCUAAUUACUUACAUCAAUUUUAGUUUCUUGAAAGUUGUGCUGCUUAAAUAGUAUGUAACGCUUUCUCGAUUAAAUGUCUUAUAUUGUUUGUUGUAUAGAUCGUAUAUUUUCGUACGCUUGUA